rnacentral:tRNA from 1 species
GGCGGGGUAGAGUAGUGGCCUAACUCAACAGUCUCAUACGCUGUUAUUUCGCAAGUUCGAAUCUUGCCCCCGCUA